rnacentral:rRNA from 1 species
GUGAGGAAUAUUGGUCAAUGGGCGAGAGCCUGAACCAGCCAAGUCGCGUGAAGGAUGAAGGUUUUAUGAAUUGUAAACUUCUUUUGCAGGGGAAUAAAGUACGGUACGUGUACCGUUUUGUAUGUACUCUGCGAAUAAGGAUCGGCUAACUCCGUGCCAGCAGCCGCGGUAAUACGGAGGAUCCAAGCGUUAUCCGGAUUUAUUGGGUUUAAAGGGUGCGCAGGCGGGUUGAUAAGUCAGCGGUGAAAGUUUGCAGCUUAACUGUAAAAUUGCCGUUGAAACUGUCGGACUUGAGUGUAAAUGAGGUAGGCGGAAUGCGUGGUGUAGCGGUGAAAUGCAUAGAUAUCACGCAGAACUCCGAUUGCGAAGGCAGCUUACUAAGCUACAACUGACACUGAAGCACGAAAGCGUGGGGAUCAAACAGGAUUAGAUACCCGGGUAGUCC